rnacentral:rRNA from 1 species
CAGUCGCCGCGGUAAGACAGAGGAUGCAAGCGUUAUCCGGAAUGAUUGGGCGUAAAGCGUCUGUAGGUGGCUUUUCAAGUCCGCCGUCAAAUCCCAGGGCUCAACCCUGGACAGGCGGUGGAAACUACCAAACUGGAGUACGGUAGGGGCAGAGGGAAUUUCCGGUGGAGCGGUGAAAUGCGUUGAGAUCGGAAAGAACACCAACGGCGAAAGCGCUCUGCUGGGCCGACACUGACACUGAGAGACGAAAGCUAGGGGAGCAAAUGGGAUUAGAUACCCCCGUAGUCCCUGUCUCUUAUAC